rnacentral:rRNA from 1 species
CCUACGGGUGGCUGCAGUAGGGAAUUUUCGGCAAUGGGCGAAAGCCUGACCGAGCAACGCCGCGUGAACGAAGAAGGUCUUCGGAUUGUAAAGUUCUGUUAUAGAGGAAGAAUGGUGUACGUAGGAAAUGGCGUACAAAUGACGGUACUCUGUGAGGAAGCCACGGCUAACUACGUGCCAGCAGCCGCGGUAAUACGUAGGUGGCGAGCGUUAUCCGGAUUUAUUGGGUUUAAAGGGUGCGCAGGCGGAAGAUCAAGUCAGCGGUAAAAUUGAGAGGCUCAACCUCUUCGAGCCGUUGAAACUGGUUUUCUUGAGUGAGCGAGAAGUAUGCGGAAUGCGUGGUGUAGCGGUGAAAUGCAUAGAUAUCACGCAGAACCCCGAUUGCGAAGGCAGCAUACCGGUGCACAACUGACGCUCAGGCACGAAAGCGUGGGUAUCGAACAGGAUUAGAUACCCUUGUAGUC